CCUUAUUCUCCCACAUGUCUGGUACCGCAGCCUGAGGUCCCUGCACACUGCAUCGACCUACAUAUCACGCUGCCUGCCUGCCUAUCUAUAUCUAUCUAUCUCUCUCUCUCUCUGUCUUUCUCUCUGUCCUAUCUAUUGCAUCUGUCCUCACUAUCUCUGUCCUCACUAUCUCUGUCCUAUAUCAAGCUAUCCUAUCAAAAUCAGUUUGACAUAUUUAUUUAUCUCCUUAUAUAUUUUUUCUGUCUAUUUAAUCUAUCUCUAUCUAAUCUGUCUAUAUGAACAGGCAGGCAGCAGUCAGCCCGAGCCCUCCUCCCAGGCUGAACCCCCUCAGCGUGAGCAGCAGGAGGAGCCGGGACGGUGCAGUGAGGACAGGGCUGGGAAGCCCCUCCCCCUCCACACUGUGUCCUGCUUUCAACCCAGACCACCACAUCAACCUUCAGACUAGCAUGGCUGCUCCCAUACCAUCAACACUGCCACGGUUAUCAGGACUCCCAGCAUCUGCAUGUCCUGCGGGUGAAGUCCACACAGAGGCCUCUAGGGAGGAGGACUGCAGCCAGACGACUGCCAGACGUGCGAGUCAGCGAGGUCAACAUGACUAGCUACAUAAUACGCUGAUGUCACAUGACCUGAAUAAAACUUUAUAGUGAA